AACGAACGCUGGCGGCGUGGAUAAGACAUGCAAGUCGAACGGGAACUUUACUUGUAGCAAUACAGGUGAAGUUCUAGUGGCGAACGGGUGCGUAACACGUGGGCAAUCUGUCCUAAAGUGGGGGAUAGCUCGGCGAAAGCCGAAUUAAUACCGCAUAUGAUUACCGGAGACAUCUUCGGAACAUCAAAGGUGGCUGUAGUAAUACAGCUAACGCUUUUUGAGGAGCCCGCGGCCUANCAGCUAGUUGGUGAGGUAACGGCUCACCAAGGCUUUGACGGGUAGCUGGUCUGAGAGGACGACCAGUCACACUGGAACUGAGACACGGUCCAGACACCUACGGGUGGCAGCAGUCGAGAAUUUUUCNCAAUGGGGCAACCCUGAAGGAGCGACGCCGCGUGGAGGAUGAAGGCUUUC
rnacentral:rRNA from 1 species